rnacentral:rRNA from 1 species
UACGUAGGGUGCAAGCGUUAAUCGGAAUUACUGGGCGUAAAGCGUGCGCAGGCGGUUCGUUAAGACAGAUGUGAAAUCCCCGGGCUUAACCUGGGAACUGCAUUUGUGACUGGCGAGCUAGAGUAUGACAGAGGGGGGUAGAAUUCCACGGUGUAGCAGUGAAAUGCGUAGAGAUGUGGAGGAAUACCGAUGGCGAAGGCAGCCCCCUGGGCCAAUACUGACGCUCAUGCACGAAAGGCGUGGGGACAACGAGGAUAGAAACC